GCUCAAUUGGUAAAGCACAAGGCUCUUAACCUUGUGGACGUGGAUUCAAGUCCCAU
rfam:Triticum aestivum genome assembly, contig: Triticum_aestivum_CS42_TGACv1_scaffold_499961_6BL